CUGAGAGGUGGUGCAUGGCCGUCGUCAGUUCGUACUGUGAAGCAUCCUGUUAAGUCAGGCAACGAGCGAGACCCACGUCCACAGUUGCCAGCAUACCCUCCGGGGUGAUGGGUACACUGUGGAGACCGCCGCUGCUAAAGCGGAGGAAGGAGUGGGCAACGGUAGGUCAGUAUGCCCCGAAUCUCCCGGGCUACACGCGGGCUACAAUGGUUGGUACAAUGGGCAUCUACCCCGAAAGGGGAAGGAAAUCUCUUAAAGCCAAUCGUAGUUCGGAUUGAGGGCUGCAACUCGCCCUCAUGAAGCUGGAAUCCGUAGUAAUCGCGUUUCAACAGAACGCGGUGAAUACGUCCCUGCUCCUU
rnacentral:rRNA from 1 species